UUCGGUAUGAAUACAAAAUAGUUAACAUCGUUAACUAUUACGUAAUUCCGGUUCCAAUGAAUGUCUCGCUGAUCUGAGGAUCUUGAGAUAUGCUUGCCAUUCCGACUUCGAAAGUGAAAAAGGCAGGAGCGGAUUAGUUUGUUCUGGUGUCGCGAGUUGAAAUCCGAAGAAUAGCAAUUAAAUUUAGUCCAGUAGUUGUUUUCCGUGAAUUUAACUCUCCGCUUGUGUCCCCAUUGAGCGGAACUGAAGGAAAAAGCCGCUUCUGACCCACGAUCGGAGAUUGGAUUUCCGCCACCUUGUCCGUCAAUUCUAGUGGCCGCGCGGAGCGCAAACCAUCACUCGCGCAUCCAGGGAAGGCGCAUCACGACACAUCUACAAGUCGAACGCGCACUCAACGUCGACGGAUCACC